CCCGAAACCGCGAUAUUGCAUUCAAUACCGUUAUGGUGACCGAUACCGAUAUCUCGAACCAUUUGUUUAUGUAUAUAUACAAGUACCCAUGACUGAGUUGUUAUAUUUUGCAGUUCAGAAAAAAGAAGUUAUGUUUUUGUCGAGUCUGAUGUUGUUCCAUGUAUUUUAUCUCGCUCCGUGUAUCAAUUUUCCCAGAUGUGUAAUUAUACCUUGUUUCAGUCUGUGGUAGGAUCUAGAUUCCCGAAUCGCAGAGGGGAAAUAAAAGAAUAGAAAAAGGGAGAAAUAGAAUGAAGUGGAAGAAGUUUUCUUGUUCCUUUUCGAUUUGUUUAGAAAUAGAAAAGAAGGAAUGGAUAUUUCUCAAAAAGUCCUUUUUUUUGUUUCUUUACCAACGUUUGGUAAUGUUUGUCUUUAGCAACUCUUUGACAUUGGUUCUUUUCCCCUUCUAAAAUAACCCUUACAUAGUCAUCUAGUUGUCUUCUUCAUACUUGAAGUUAGGAUAAAUGAAGUUAGCCACCCACGUCAAGCUAUAUAUAAGGGCUGCCUUGCUGUAGAAAGAAAAACAUAACAUGAGUUCAGACAAUGGUGCCAUCAAAACAAAGUUCUGUAAACAUUGGAAUAAUUGAUGCCAUUCCCAACUCGAGAAGUGAACCUCGAGCUCUAGACAUUCGUUCAUUGCUAAGAUGUAGGGUAAAGAUCAUUCUAAUACAUGUAACUAAUAAAUAACCUGCCUUAGUACUACCAGUGUCUUAAGUUCACCAUACAAUUUUUUAGCUAUAGUCAUGGCUAUAAAGAUAGAUUGACAGAAGAUAAGCAAUUCUAAUUUCUUAGGUAUUCAUUGCUCAUAAACAACCUAAUACAUUGGCUAUACUAUCAGCAUAUACAUUGGCUAUCUUCAGUCCAGGAAUACUAAAUAACCUGAUGUUUUUACGGGCCGAAUUUUUAGCUGUAGUCAUUUCCCCUGAAUUUUACGGGCUCCCAUAGCAAAAACAUCAGUCUUGUUUCAAUAACCAAGCUAAUUAAUUCUAAGGUUCCUAAAAGAUAGAUUAACAAAAGAUAAAACUACUGGAUACAUGGAAAAAGGAAUAGCUGAAACUAACUGAUUGAUUUUAGAAAUUUCCACUACAACAACAACAACAACAAAACCCAUGUAGUCCCCAAUCAUUGGGGGUAUGGGCGGGGGAAGAUUGGAGACAGACCUAACCUUUGGUAAUAUGCACAAAGUGAUUGCUCUCAGAAUACCACUGAAAUAGUGGCCCCCCUAUACCUAUUUUGCUGGGAAACCAUGCCCCCAAAUCAAAGCCAAAUGACAUCAGAAAGGGCAGGCCUAGAGACCCAAUUUAAUUUCUGUGCACAUUACCAUGCUUUCUUCAUUGAUAGUCCAAAGCAUCGGUAUGCACAAUAUUUUAGAAAUUUCCAUUGGUUCUCUAAAUUUAUUGCGGUCUUAGACGCUUAGUUCCAUCAUGUAACUCCUUUUCUACCUCCAACUUUUAACCUCAUUGGUAGGAUCCCUAAAGUAAUUUUCAUGUAUACAAAUGUCUUUUAUAUGAAAUUCAUGGUGAAUUAGUUAUGUAUAAAAAUAUAAGCAGUGUGUAACUCUAACUUGUUUGUUAAGGGUGGAAACUGAAAUAAAGAUAGUCCCUACUCCUUACUUAGGUAUAGAAUGAUCACAUGAGUAUGGAGAUUUCUUUGACCUAUGUUUCUGCCGUUUACCAGAUCUUCCAAAUAUUUCCCCCCCUUGGCGUGGUAUAUGUGGCACUACUAGUUGGGCAAAGUUUCGGUUCAAAGUUGACUGACGUGGUAACUCUCUAGUGGGCAGUGGUGGGCCUGUUAAAUAAGUUGUCCAAUGGUGCUCUGGGAAAUACUAAAUAAGUUGUCCAAUGGUGCUCUGGGAAAUACUAGAUAAGUUCCAAAUCUUUCACCCUACCACUCUGUUUCCUAGUCUAUCUGUGUAUAUACCAUGCUAAAGUGAACUAUUUGAUUGGGCACACCAUCAUCCUUAUGUGCAUCCUGGUGAACUAAAUAAGAAGGUGAGACUAGAAUAUUUGGGGGAAGUUCUGCAAAUAUUGUACUGGGUAAUGAUGGUUGGUGUAGUCUAUGUAGUAAAGAUUUGAAUAUGAAAGUUCCCAAAGUCCACACAAGUUAUUUAGUGUUUCUGUGUUUGGCCAUCACAAAGAUGCGAACAAGGGCUUAUCAGAUGACAAUGGUUUGAUAAGAUGCGUGAGCCCAUGACAAAGGUGUUAAAUCCAUUUCUUUAGAUACCCAUCUAGAUCAUCCAAUUGACAAUCAUACUCCGUUUUUUUGAAUAGUAUGGUCUAGGCAUGGAGUGUUUCUACUUAAUCUGAAGCCCAUUUAGAGUUAUUCGGGUCUAUUGAUAUGAUUCCUACUUCAACUAGAGUUGCAUUAGAAUGUCUUUGGUAAGUUUAUCAAGGGAGUGUUUGAGAGAUUAGCAUCUUUUCGGCAACACAAUGUGUUAUUCUGUGGUCAGUGUGUUUUUUCAAAGCUUUGGCUUCCUUUUGCUUUGUCUGGGGCUGCCAAACUUAUUUCAAGAUGCUGAUCUAGAGGG